rnacentral:lncRNA from 1 species
UUUUAAGAAAAUUAAAAAUUCUAAGGAAAUGUUGCUAAAUACGAAUUAAAUAGAAAUAGGCUAAAUUACAGAAAACCCUCCUGUCAAAACCUGAUUUUUCACUUCCUCCGGUCAUUUAAAAAUCUAUACUUUGCCCCAUUGUAAAAUGAAAAAUAUGCACUUCACCUCCUACCGUUAGUGAUCCGUUAGGGUUCCUUUAUAAAAUAUUUUUUUAUGCCAAAAAUACCCCUCCGUCCUCUUCCCUGUUGCUUCGCCUCCCUCCGGCUUGCCGCCUCGCCCUCUUCCACUGCCUCGCCCUCGCCCACAUCCCCUUCGCCCUCCUCCGCCGCCUCGCUUUCGCCCUCAUUGCCCUUGCCUACCUCUCCAUCAGCGCCUACCUCGAUUUCCUCCCUACUAUCGCCGAAAUCGAGGGGCGGCGAAGGUGUAGGAGAAGAAUGGAAGUAGGUGGAGAAGAAAAUGGAGAGAAAUCGCGGCCGAUCGAGGUGUGAAUCGCGGCCGAUCGAGGUGGCGGUUGUGGAAGAUAAGGGAGGAGACGAGAAUGGUGAGAGGCAAAAUGGUCAUUUUACACACCGUAUCCCUCUGUGAACAUUUUUCAUUUUAUAAGGGGACAAGGUGUAGGUUUCUAAAUGACAUGGGGGGAAAGCGAAAAAUUGGGUUUUGACAGAAGAGUUUUAUGUAAUUUAUCCAUAGAAAUACUACAUAUUAAAAUUAGACUAAAUCAGUUUCAAAUUUGCAUAAUUCAAUAUCUGAAUUCGAACCUGAAUCUGAAAAUAAAUGGUGAACCUUAAUCCAAAUUCAAACUCGAAAAAAUUUCAAACUCGAGAUCCAAUUUUGAAUCUGA